CCUACGGGCGGCAGCAGUGGGGAAUAUUGGAUAAUGGGCGAAAGCCUGAUCCAGCCAUGCCGCGUGUGUGAAGAAGGCCUUCGGGUUGUAAAGCACUUUCAGUGGGGAAGAAAGCCUUGGGGCUAAUACCCUCGAGGAAGGACAUCACCCACAGAAGAAGCACCGGCUAACUCCGUGCCAGCAGCCGCGGUAAUACGGAGGGUGCGAGCGUUAAUCGGAAUUACUGGGCGUAAAGCGCGCGUAGGCGGUCUGAUAAGCCGGUUGUGAAAGCCCCGGGCUCAACCUGGGAACGGCAUCCGGAACUGUCAGGCUAGAGUGCAGGAGAGGAAGGUAGAAUUCCCGGUGUAGCGGUGAAAUGCGUAGAGAUCGGGAGGAAUACCAGUGGCGAAGGCGGCCUUCUGGACUGACACUGACGCUGAGGUGCGAAAGCGUGGGUAGCAAACAGGAUUAGUACCCGGGUAGUC
rnacentral:rRNA from 1 species